UACGUAGGGUGCAGGCGUUAAUCGGAAUUACUGGGCGUAAAGCGUACGCAGGCGGCUGUGCAAGACAGAUGUGAAAUCCCCGGGCUUAACCUGGGAACUGCAUUUGUGACUGCGCAGCUAGAAUUUGUCAGAGGGGGGUGGAAUUCCGACGUGUAGCAGUGAAAUGCGUAGAGAUGUGGAGGAACACCGAUGGCGAAGGCAGCCCCCUGGGACCUGACUGACGCUCAUGUACGAAAGCGUGGGGAGCAAACAGG
rnacentral:rRNA from 1 species